GAAAGGGAACGACUUUGGCGAUGGAAGGAUAUUCAAAAUGGACAUGACUAUAGGGAUAUAACAGAUCACCCAAGGGGGUAACUCGGCUUCUGGUAUGAACAUUGUUAGUGGAAGUAUAAUACAGAACAGCGUGAAUGAGUAAAAUGGUAAUAUCAGCUUCCUCAGGAGAAAGAAUAGCAAUAUCAGGUUGGCCUUCUUAUGUGAAUGAGUAAAAAGGUAAUAUCAGCUUCCUUAGAAGAAAGAACAGGAAUAUCAGGUUGGCCUUCUUCCAGACAGAGAUCUGUGCAAAAAAUAUACGACAUUGUUAAAAAUUUACUAGUCCAAAAUUUCCAUAACUCAUAUGGUUGGCAGGUGAUAUUGAGAGUAUGAAAAUAUAAAGCAACACUCACCU
rnacentral:lncRNA from 1 species